AUCAAGGCCUAUAGUAGACGGCUUUAGGUAUCAAGGCCUAUAGCUGAAUAGAUUACUUUAGGUAUCAAGGCCUAUAGUAGACGGCUUUAGGUAUCAA